rnacentral:rRNA from 1 species
AUUGAACGCUGGCGGCAGGCCUAACACAUGCAAGUCGAACGGUAACAGGAAGCAGCUUGCUGCUUUGCUGACGAGUGGCGGACGGGUGAGUAAUGUCUGGGAAACUGCCCGAUGGAGGGGGAUAACUACUGGAAACGGUAGCUAAUACCGCAUAACGUCGCAAGACCAAAGAGGGGGACCUUAGGGCCUCUUGCCAUCGGAUGUGCCCAGAUGGGAUUAGCUAGUAGGUGGGGUAACGGCUCACCUAGGCGACGAUCCCUAGCUGGUCUGAGAGGAUGACCAGCCACACUGGAACUGAGACACGGUCCAGACUCCUACGGGAGGCAGCAGUGGGGAAUAUUGCACGAUGGGCGCAAGCCUGAUGCAGCCAUGCCGCGUGUAUGAAGAAGGCCUUCGGGUUGUAAAGUACUUUCAGCGGGGAGGAAGGGAGUAAAGUUAAUACCUUUGCUCAUUGACGUUACCCGCAGAAGGAGCACCGGCUAACUCCGU